rnacentral:rRNA from 2 species
GGGGGUAGAAUUCCAGGUGUAGCGGUGAAAUGCGUAGAGAUCUGGAGGAAUACCGGUGGCGAAGGCGGCCCCCUGGACAAAGACUGACGCUCAGGUGCGAAAGCGUGGGGAGCAAACAGGAUUAGAUACCCUGGUAGUCCACGCCGUAAACGAUGUCUACUUGGAGGUUGUGCCCUUGAGGCGUGGCUUCCGGAGCUAACGCGUUAAGUAGACCGCCUGGGGAGUACGGCCGCAAGGUUAAAACUCAAAUGAAUUGACGGGGGCCCGCACAAGCGGUGGAGCAUGUGGUUUAAUUCGAUGCAACGCGAAGAACC